rnacentral:lncRNA from 1 species
GCUGGACAUGUGUGGCGAGUCUCGGCUGAGCUAGGGUCUGGAUGACGGGCUAGCGAGACGAGCCUCACAUCGCCUGGUGAUCUUGGGCUGUGUGUGUGAUUAGACUAACGAGGACGACUGACGAGGACGUCAGGGCCUUAACGGGGGGAGUCUGUGACAUCCCAAUAGUCCCACAUCGCAUGGGAAUGGGGUUGUCAUUCGGUUUAUAAGAAAGUUAGACACUAGUAAUAAUAACUGGGCUUAAGUAUUUUGGGCCGGUGGUUUGGGCCCAACGAGUUAUUGUUGCUAGUGGGCUGGGUUGUUACAUAUAGAUAAUAGAGUGAAAAAAUUUUCGAAUUCGUAUGAUUAUUGUAUUGUUCGUAUUUUCAAAUGUAGAU